rnacentral:miRNA from 1 species
UCUUUCUUUCUUUCUUUCUCUCUCUCUCUCUCUCUCUCUCUCUCUCUCUCUCUGUCUCUCUCUCUCUCUCUCUGUCUGUGUGUGUGUGUGUGUGUGUGUGAGAGAGAGAGAGAGAGAGAGAGAGAGAGAGAGAGAGAGAGAGAGAGAGAGAAUCCCAACUUGU